rnacentral:lncRNA from 1 species
UAGCGCUAUAGCUGCCUUGUACUGCGUCCGGUCCGGUACUGACUCUUGUCGCACCUUUUGCCAGGCUGUGGGGGUGCCGCUAGUCUCCCCGCCCCCCUGACUUAAGCUGAAGUUAUACGGUGGCCUCGUUGUUCCACAAAACAGCAAGCGCGUCAUUUAGCGUGUAGUCUGUUGAGAUCCAGGGCUGUAGAUAGCGCGUGCGUGGAGGCGCGAAAGCUUCUGAUGAGGCGAUCUCAAAGCUUGGUGGAGAGCUCUUUGUCACCGCACUUCACAGGACACCUGAGUUGUACAUGAGGUCAUACAGCUAGCCUCUUUUUCCUUAGAUGCACACACAGUUUGUGGAGUCUUGGAAGGAGAACCCUGCUGUGAGUUAGGAGAGCCGGGUCAGAAUUAUAGCCGUGACAUCCCUUGAGUGACUUUUGGCAAGUUAUUCGUCUCUUCCAUGAGUGGGUUCCUCCAUGUUGUGACAUUUGAACAAUGGUUCUGAUUUGCAGAACCACAGGCGAUAAAUGUCAGUGGACAGAAAGGACAAAGUCAGCCUUCGUGGGCAGGCUCUUCAGCAGACUCCUGAAUGUGCGACCAGCUUGCCUCUUAGGACUGGGAUUAUCUCACCAUUACACACCGUUCCAGGUACCAUCCCCAGACACUGCAAAACGAAGCCCAACCCCCGCUCGGA